rnacentral:lncRNA from 1 species
CAGCCUCUCAUGGAACCAGUUUCAUGCCACUCUGGGAAACAAUGAGCAGAAUCAACACCUUCGUUUUAUGGCAGAAGAACUUGAAACCCUGAGAUGGAAAGGAUAGAAAGUUGCUUGGGUGAAUUAACAGCCGUGGAGAACACUUCCGUAGGGAGCACAGGGGCUCCCCUAGGCCUUCGCUUGGGCAAAAAUGGACUGUUUGGUGUUGGAGGCUGAGCAGAGGUGGGCAAAAAGGAACAGAAGGAGAGUAACUGGUGAAGAAGGAGCAAAGAGUGAGGCACAAAAUGAAGUCUCACCAUGUUGCCCAAGCUGGUCUCAAACUCUUGGCCUCCAGAAAUCCUCCAACUUCAGCCUCCCAAGGUGCUGGGAUUACAGGUAAUAGCCACUGUGCCCAGUUAAGGUGCAACUUCUUUAUGGAGCUUUUCUUUACUUCUCCAAGCAAAAUUAGUUGCUCCCUUCUCUAUGUUCUCUGUACAUUUUAGUUUGUACCAUAUAAAAUUGCCUCUAUGUAACCAUUUUUGACCUACAAAUCUGGCAAUUUUAUAUCAUUUAGCCAAAUAUCUCCUUAUCCCAUUGUAUUACAUUUUGGGUUGGCAUGUGUCUAUCCUCUCUCCAUUCCACCCCCCAGAAUGUAAGUUCCAUGACAGUUAACAGUAAGAGCUGACUUUCUGUGUGCUUCCUAGGAGGCCAGGACUGUUCUACACACUUGAAGUAAAUUAACUCUUUUAAUUCUUAGAGCAAUGGUGUAAUGAUGAUACUUUUCUAUGCAUAGUACCACUAGAUAAGUGAGGAAGCUGAGGCACACAGAAGCUGUAUUUGUCAAGGUUCUCCAGAAGGACAGAACUAGUCAGAUAUAUGUCUAUAUUAAAGGGAGUUUAUUAGGGAGAAUUGGCUCACACAGUCAAAGGUGAAGUUCCACACAAUAGCCACCUGCAAGCUGAGGAAGAAAGAAGCCAGUAGUGGCUCAGUUUGAGUUCAAAAGCCUCAAAAGCAGGAAAGCCUACAGUGCAACCUUCAGUCUGUGGCAAGGCCUGAGAGCCCCAGCAAACCACUGGUGUAAGUAGUCCAAGGGUCCAAAGGCCAAAAAACCUGGAGUCUGAUGUCCAAGAGCAAGAGGAACAGAUGGAAGCAUCCAGCACAGGAGAAAGAUGAAAGCCAGAAGACCCAGCAAGACAGCUUAUCCCACCUCCUUCCACCUGCUUUAUUCUAGCCACGCUGGCAGCUGAUUGGGUGGUGCCCACUCACAUUGAGGGUGGGUCCAGUCCACUGACUCACAUGUCAAUCUCCUCUGGCAACAUUCUCACAGACGCACCCAGAAACAACACCUUACCGGCUAUCUAGACAUCCUGCAAUCCAAUCAAGCUGACACCCAGUAUUAAUCAUCACAGAAUCUAAGUAACUUGCCCAGCCUCACAAAACUUGACAGAGCUUGGAUUUGAGCCUAGGUUAUCUGUCUUUAAGGUCCAGAGACUUAACCAUUUCUCUAAAAUCCUUCUAUUACUAUUCUGUCUGGUUGUGUUUUGUUCACCACUGUAUUCCCAGGGCUAGCACAAGGCUAGGGACCUACUAGGUGCUUAGUAAAGAGGUGAAUUAAAUGAUUUUGUACCAGUCACAUUUACUGAGCACCUACUCUGUGCUCCCAGAUGUUGUGGUGGUAGGCACCAAGAAAAAUAAGGCCCAGUCCCCACCUUUAUGGAGAUGGUGGCCAAGCAGGGGCCCCUGGAAACAGUGUAGCAUUUACAUUGAGGAGGCUGAACGUCAGAGGUGAGGAGAACUAUGGAUGGCCUGUUGUGUACCUGGAGGUAGAACAGGUGAUGGAGAAGUCCUGAGAAAGAGAAGGGUAGAAUUAUCCAUGUGAAGGAGGGUCCAGGUUCAAUGCAGAUGUGUUCUAGACAGAUGGAGCAGCUUAUGCAAA